rnacentral:rRNA from 1 species
GACGAACGCUGGCGGCGUGCUUAACACAUGCAAGUCGAACGGAAAGGCCCUGCUUGCAGGGUACUCGAGUGGCGAACGGGUGAGUAACACGUGGGAGAUCUGCUCUGCACUUCGGGAUAAGCCUGGAAAACUGGGUCAAAUACCGGAUAGGCGCCAUUUUUAGUGUGAGGGUUGGAAAGUUUUUUCGGUGUAGGAUGAGCUGGCGGCCUAUCAGCUUGUUGGUGGGGUAAUGGCCUACCAAGGCGGCGACGGGUAGCCGGCCUGAGAGGGUGGACGGCCAUCUUGGGUCUGAGGGGCGGCCCAGGCGCCGACGGGGGGAAGAAGGGGGGAAGUUUGCACAAGGGGGGCAAGCCGUGUGCAGCGACGCCGCGGGGGGGAGAGCGGCCUUCGGGUUGGAAAAGCGUUUCGAUAGGGAGGAAGCUUUUUGUGACGGUACCUAGAUAAUAAGCACCGGCUAACUUCGUG